AUUGAACGCUGUCGGCAGGCCUAACACAUGCAAGUCGAGCGGAGCGGCGGACGGGUGAGUAAUGCCUAGGUAUCUGCCUGGGUGUUGGGGGUGACGUCCGGAAACGGGCGCUAAUACCGCAUACUAUCACUCGAGUCUGGGUCGGAUUAGCUAGUUGGUGGGGUAAAGUACUACCAAGGCGACGAUCCGUAACUGGUCUGAGAGGAUGAUCAGUCACACUGGAACUGAGACACGGUCCAGACUCCUACGGGAGGCAGCAGUGGGGAAUAUUGGACAAUGGGCGAAAGCCUGAUCCAGCCAUGCCGCGUGUGUGAAGAAGGUCUUCGGAUUGUAAAGCACUUUAAGUUGGGAGGCGUUACCAACAGAAUAAGCACCGGCUAACUUCGUGCCAGCAGCCGCGGUAAUUC
rnacentral:rRNA from 1 species